rnacentral:rRNA from 1 species
UACGUAGGGUGCGAGCGUUGUCCGGAAUUAUUGGGCGUAAAGAGCUUGUAGGCGGUUUGUCGCGUCUGCUGUGAAAAUCCGGGGCUCAACCCCGGACUUGCAGUGGGUACGGGCAGACUAGAGUGUGGUAGGGGAGACUGGAAUUCCUGGUGUAGCGGUGAAAUGCGCAGAUAUCAAGAGGAACACCGGUGGCGAAGGCGGGUCUCUGGGCCGUAACUGACGCUGAGGAGCGAAAGCGUGGGGAGCGAACAGG